rnacentral:tRNA from 1 species
GGCCCUGUGGCCUAAUGGUAAGGCGUUGGUUUUCGGCACCAAAGAUUGUGCGUUCGAGUCGCAUCGGGGUCG